rnacentral:rRNA from 1 species
GCUAAACGCGAAGAACCUUACCAGGGUUUGACAUGCAAGUAGUAGGGAACUGAAAAGGGACCGACCCUUCGGGGAGCUUGCACAGGUGCUGCAUGGCUGUCGUCAGCUCGUGUCGUGAGAUGUUCGGUUAAGUCCGCUAACGAGCGCAACCCUCGCUGUGUGUUACAUGUGUCACACGGGACUGCCGGUCUUAAGCCGGAGGAAGGUGGGGACGACGUCAAGUCAGCAUGGCCUUUAUAUCCUGGGCUACACACACGCUACAAUGGCCAACACAAUAGGUUGCGAAGUCGCGAGGCGGAGCCAAUCCCUAAAAUCGCCCUCAGUUCAGAUUGCAGUCUGCAACCCGACUGCAUGAAGGUGGAAUCGCUAGUAAUCGCGGAUCAGAACGCCGCGGUGAAUACGUUCCCGGGUCUUGUACACACCG